rnacentral:rRNA from 1 species
AUGGUAUUGAAGCAUUCGCAAAAAAUGGAUUUAAAUCUUGGAAGGAUGGACCUAAAGUUUUUAAUCAGCAUGUUGGCAAGCAUGAUAGUGCUCACAAUAAAUCUAGACAACAUUAUGAUGACUUCAAAAAUCAAAGACAAAAUCUGCCACAUGUGUUUGAUAGGGGUUCUAACAAGAAAGAAGAAGAAUACAAAGCUCGUCUCUUGA